CUCCGGAAAAAACCCAUAAAUAUUACCAAUUAAGCUCAAGUUAUCGUAACAAACAUAUGACAUAAACUAUGCAAUGUUCAUCAUGUCCAUGAAGUCCUACAUUUAAAAUGAAGAAAUUAAUUUAUUACAGCAUAAUAAUAUACGCUAGCAUUGUGUCUAUUAUUCUUUCAUUACAGGGGUUCCCCAAAAAUAAAACCCGAGUAUAAUCCAUUUAACUCAAAAUUAACUCAGUUCCCCUUAAAGAAUACAUUACACAAACAAUACAACGUAUAUGAAGUCCUACAUUUUAAAUGAAGAAAUUAAUUGAUUACAGAAUAACUAUAUACUCUAGCAUUGUAUCUACUACUAUUUUAUUACAUGGAUAACUAAGGUAACCCCAACCCCCCAAAACUAAAAUUAAAAAAAAACCAAAGAAAUAUAACCAAUCUAACUCAAUUCUUAUCUUAACAAAUAUAUGACAUAAGCUAUGCAGUGUCCAUAAAGUUCUACAUUCAGAAUGAAAAAAAAUAGUUUAUUGCAGCAUAAAAUAUAUCAUAGCAUAGUAUUUACUAUUCCUUAAUUACGGGGGUUACCUGAGGUCAACCCCAAAAAAACAACCUUACAAUUCAACCAAUUCAUCUCCAAUGAACUCAGUUCACAUGAACACAUUCAUAACGUAAACAUUACAACGUCCAUGAAGUUCUAUAAUGAGAAUGAAGACAUUAUUUAAUUACAUUGGUUUUGGUAUUAAGUCACAUUACAAUGUGGUAUUAAGAUUGAUCUACAUAGGGAAC
rnacentral:lncRNA from 1 species